UAACACAUGCAAGUCGAACGAUGAAGCCCAGCUUGCUGGGUGGAUUAGUGGCGAACGGGUGAGUAACACGUGAGUAACCUGCCCUUGACUCUGGGAUAAGCGUUGGAAACGACGUCUAAUACCGGAUACGAGCUUCCACCGCAUGGUGAGUUGCUGGAAAGAAUUUUGGUCAAGGAUGGACUCGCGGCCUAUCAGCUUGUUGGUGAGGUAACGGCUCACCAAGGCGACGACGGGUAGCCGGCCUGAGAGGGUGACCGGCCACACUGGGACUGAGACACGGCCCAGACUCCUACGGGAGGCAGCAGUGGGGAAUAUUGCACAAUGGGCGAAAGCCUGAUGCAGCAACGCCGCGUGAGGGACGACGGCCUUCGGGUUGUAAACCUCUUUUAGCAGGGAAGAAGCGAAAGUGACGGUACCUGCAGAAAAAGCACCGGCUAACUACGUGCCAGCAGCCGCGGUAAUACGUAGGGUGCAAGCGUUGUCCGGAAUUAUUGGGCGUAAAGAGCUCGUAGGCGGUUUGUCGCGUCUGCUGUGAAAUCCCGAGGCUCAACCUCGGGUCUGCAGUGGGUACGGGCAGACUAGAGUGCGGUAGGGGAGAUUGGAAUUCCUGGUGUAGCGGUGGAAUGCGCAGAUAUCAGGAGGAACACCGAUGGCGAAGGCAGAUCUCUGGGCCGCUACUGACGCUGAGGAGCGAAAGGGUGGGGAGCAAACAGGCUUAGAUACCCUGGUAGUCCACCCCGUAAACGUUGGGCGCUAGAUGUGGGGACCAUUCCACGGUUUCCGUGUCGUAGCUAACGCAUUAAGCGCCCCGCCUGGGGAGUACGGCCGCAAGGCUAAAACUCAAAGGAAUUGACGGGGGGCCCGCACAAGCGGCGGAGCAUGCGGAUUAAUUCGAUGCAACGCGAAGAACCUUACCAAGGCUUGACAUAUACGAGAACGGGCCAGAAAUGGUCAACUCUUUGGACACUCGUAAACAGGUGGUGCAUGGUUGUCGUCAGCUCGUGUCGUGAGAUGUUGGGUUAAGUCCCGCAACGAGCGCAACCCUCGUUCUAUGUUGCCAGCACGUAAUGGUGGGAACUCAUGGGAUACUGCCGGGGUCAACUCGGAGGAAGGUGGGGACGACGUCAAAUCAUCAUGCCCCUUAUGUCUUGGGCUUCACGCAUGCUACAAUGGCCAGUACAAAGGGCUGCAAUACCGUAAGGUGGAGCGAAUCCCAAAAAGCUGGUCCCAGUUCGGAUUGAGGUCUGCAACUCGACCUCAUGAAGUCGGAGUCGCUAGUAAUCGCAGAUCAGCAACGCUGCGGUGAAUACGUUCCCGGGCCUUGUACACACCGCCCGUCAAGUCAUGAAAGUCGGUAACACCCGAAGCCAGUGGCCUAACCGCAAGGAUGGAGCUGUCUAAGGUGGGAUCGGUAAUUAGGACUAAGUCGUAACAAG
rnacentral:rRNA from 1 species